UCCUGAGAUAAAUACUACAUAGGAAGUGCUGUCUGAUGCGAUAACUGAUGGUUAGAAGCUACACUGUUCUGAGG